CAGAUUGAACGCUGGCGGCAGGCCUAACACAUGCAAGUCGAGCGGUAGAGAGGUGCUUGCAUCUCUUGAGAGCGGCGGACGGGUGAGUAAUGCCUAGGAAUCUGCCUAGUGGUGGGGGAUAACGUUCGGAAACGGACGCUAAUACCGCAUACGUCCUACGGGAGAAAGCGGGGGAUCUUCGGACCUCGCGCCAUUAGAUGAGCCUAGGUCGGAUUAGCUAGUUGGUGAGGUAAUGGCUCACCAAGGCGACGAUCCGUAACUGGUCUGAGAGGAUGAUCAGUCACACUGGAACUGAGACACGGUCCAGACUCCUACGGGAGGCAGCAGUGGGGAAUAUUGGACAAUGGGCGAAAGCCUGAUCCAGCCAUGCCGCGUGUGUGAAGAAGGUCUUCGGAUUGUAAAGCACUUUAAGUUGGGAGGAAGGGUAGUAACCUAAUACGUUGCUACUUUGACGUUACCGACAGAAUAAGCACCGGCUAACUUCGUG
rnacentral:rRNA from 1 species